GCGUUGCAUUGGCGUACUGGUCAUGAAAAUGAUUGCCUCCAGAUAAUAAGUUCUGCUGCUUCAAAUUCAGUUCUGCCAGCUGUAGGAAUAGUGUUUGUCCGCUGGUUUGCUAAGGCAAGCAACGUACAUAGACUGCUCGUCUUGGAUCCUUCAGGAAUCAUAAAAGCAUAUGGAGGAAAUAUGUAUAGGCUACAAAGAAGCAUAAGAAGCAUUUUUUAUAGCAGAAGCCAAGUGUUCUGAUGAUUUUGUUUUUUCAAUUGUGUUUUCUGUUAUUGGUUCAGCAUGCACAUAUAUUGACAUGAUUUAUGGCAUGGCAUCUGUCAUCUUUGUUAUAUUUAUGACACCGUUCUUGAUUGAUGUGUGCGACAUGAAUGAUGGAUCUUUUUAACAUCCUGACCAUCAUUGUGUCGCUCAUUAUCGUAUUUUGUAUAUCAUUUAUGGGUUCACGGAUAUG